AGACAUCAACAAACAAAAAAUUUAAUGGAUAAACCAAAUAGUUUAAUAAAGGCAAAAUAUAAGGACCCCGUAGUGUAUUGUAAAUUUCAAAAGUUAAUUGUAAAUUUGUCCAAUGGUUAAAAUUGCAGUUGAGGGUACUUAAAUGGUAGGUGGAGUGGAUAAUCUAGGAAAAUUAUUUUCCAACAAAGAAAACACAAAAAUGAUGCAUAGGAAAUUGAAUGAAAAUAAAUAAACAAUUUAAAAAAUAUAAAUUCAAAUUUUGUCUUCGCAUAGCAAAA
rnacentral:misc_RNA from 1 species